rnacentral:misc_RNA from 1 species
UUACCCAUUUUUUUCCUACCCUCUCUUUUUCAAAAUUGAUUAUGGUCAUCGUAUUCUUUUAGAUUUGACCAGUGUAUAGGAAGGGCUCCUUUUCUAUUAUCAGAUAUCAGACCCAAGUCUUGUGAUAGAUAUGAUAUACGGACAAAUGAGCAUCGGAAUACCUAUUGGAAUGAUUCACAAUGCAUAGCAUUACUCAUACUGAUACUAAGAAAGUCUUCUUUUUAAAGAUUUGAAGAUGCAAGAGAUUCCCUCUUCUUUUAAUACAAUACUGAAUACUUAAUUAAUACUUAAUACUUUAGAAUGCUUAAGACUUUGCCCUUUUUUUUUUUUAAUUGACAUAGACCCAAGCCCUCUCGUAAAAUGAGUAUGAUGCAUCGCGAAUGGUCAGGG